UACGUAGGGUGCAAGCGUUGUCCGGAAUUAUUGGGCGUAAAGAGCUCGUAGGCGGUCUGUUGCGUCGGCUGUGAAAACCCGGGGCUCAACUCCGGGCCUGCAGCCGAUACGGGCAGACUAGAGUUCGGCAGGGGAGACUGGAAUUCCUGGUGUAGCGGUGAAAUGCGCAGAUAUCAGGAGGAACACCGGUGGCGAAGGCGGGUCUCUGGGCCGAUACUGACGCUGAGGAGCGAAAGCGUGGGGAGCGAAACAGG
rnacentral:rRNA from 1 species